rnacentral:tRNA from 1 species
CAAGGAGUAGCUUAUAUACCCAAAGCAUUCAACUUACAAUUGAAAAAUGUCCAACACGACCCCCUUGA